AUUGAACGCUGGCGGCGUGCUUAACACAUGCAAGUCGAGCGGUAACAGGCGUAGCAAUACGUGCUGACGAGCGGCGGACGGGUGAGUAAUGCUUGGGAAUCUACCCAGUAGUGGGGAACAACCAGUCGAAAGAUUGGCUAAUACCGCAUACGUCUUCUUUCUGUAGUGGAGAGAAGGGAAAGCGGGGGACCGUAAGGCCUCGCGCUAUUGGAUGAGCCCAAGUCGGAUUAGCUAGUUGGUGAGGUAACGGCUCACCAAGGCGACGAUCCGUAGCUGGUCUGAGAGGACGACCAGCCACACUGGGACUGCGACACGGCCCGGACUCCUACGGGAGGCAGCAGUGGGGAAUAUUGGACAAUGGGGGAAACCCUGAUCCAGCGACGCCGCGUGUGUGAAGAAGGCCUGCGGGUUGUAAAGCACUUUUAGUGGGGACGAAAAGUUUCGGGUUAACAACCCGGGAUCUUGACUUAACCCAAAGAAAAAGCACCGGCUAACUCUGUGCCAGCCGCCGCCGUAAAAC
rnacentral:rRNA from 1 species